CCUACGGGAGGCAGCAGCAAGGAAUAUUGUGCAAUGGGCGAAAGCCUGACACAGCGACGCCGCGUGAGGGAUGAAGACCUUCGGGUUGUAAACCUCUUUUGCCAGGGAAGAAUAAUGACGGUACCUGGCGAAUAAGCUCCGGCUAACUCCGUGCCAGCAGCCGCGGUAAUACGGGGGGAGCGAGCGUUGUCCGGAAUCACUGGGCGUAAAGGGCGUGUAGGCGGGUGAGUAAGUCAGAUGUGAAAGGCUGCGGCUUAACCGUGGGAGUGCAUUUGAAACUGCUCAUCUUGAGUACGAGAGAGGGUAGUGGAAUUCCCAGUGUAGCGGUGAAAUGCGUAGAUAUUGGGAAGAACACCGGUAGCGAAGGCGGCUACCUGGCUCGUAACUGACGCUAAUGCGCGAAAGCGUGGGGAUCAAACAGGAUUAGAUACCCUGGUAGUCCACGCUGUAAACGAUGGGCGCUAGGUGUUGGUCUCGUAGAUGGGAUCAGUGCCGCAGCAAACGCAAUAAGCGCCCCGCCUGGGGAGUACGAUCGCAAGGUUGAAACUCAAAGGAAUUGACGG
rnacentral:rRNA from 1 species